CGACAAAUUACCUUUUCAUCACUUUAAUGAAUCUCUACCAAAUUUCAAGCUGAAAUACUUUCACUAAAAAAGGCAGUGCAUCUUCCAAGUCAAUUUCCAUCACAAGUGGAAAUUUGCAGUGAUUUACUUUCUAGUCUGGAGGCCAUAAAAAGAGAAAAUUCAACUAAUACAAUAGGAGCAGAUAUACAAAUCCUUCUUCUUAACCUUCCUGCCCCUUCUCGACCCUUAUUGAGCUGGGUUUCCAAUCAAAGGGUGGUUUAUGGCAAUCAUUUGGCAGACCAGUUGGCAAAAGCGAUUAGUAUAAUAGCUGUACGUCCUCCUGGAUAACAUACGAAAGUACAUCAUAAGCUGGGCAGAUGAACUGGAACCCCGAGGUGUCACGGAUCAAAUAUCAUCCAUUAUAUGUAGUCUGCUGUCCAUCUUUUUCAAACUGAACCAAUGUCAAAAGCAGCAUUCUACAACAAUUUUCAGCGGUCUGGUUAUUAUAGUCAAUUAUUACGCUGCUACUACCUUUCAUUCAAUCUGUAGGCCUUUUAUGUUUUGGAUUUUCUGGCCAGAUGAUAUACCGGAUAUGCGCCCUUUUUUCUUACUUUACCCCGAAGUGCUGUGGUUGGUUCCUGGUUUAAAAAUUUCUGUGAUAUACGCCUACAAAAUGAUCAUCAAACUUAUUUUGUUUAUUUAUGAUUAUGUCCAAAGCUCCAUUCGAACAAAAGAAAGCCAAACUCGACUUCCAGCCUACUCUCAGUCAUACGGAAUAUAUUUUCAGUAUCUUCUGUUAUAUUACAAAAUUUAUGCCUUAAUUAGAAUGGUUCAAAAGUUAAUAAAAUUAUUAUUGUUUUAAUCAAGUAAGUAAUUGUUAAUUAAAAAUCAAUAUAAUAAAAUGUUGGAAAAAAUUCCUUCCUUGUUCUCAAAAUUGCAUGCACUUUUACAAAAGCAGCAUUAAACGUCUGCAUAUGUUUUUCACUUUAGGCUUAAUAAUCUAAACAAUUAAAGUAUCACAUCACAAUAAGCAUAUCUAAUUAAAUGCAUGUUUAAGGCAUUCCUUUUAAUUUUGUGAGUAAUUUGUAACUAAAAUAAAAUGUUGUUUGGCUAAUCAGUUGAAUUAUAUCGAUAACAACAGUACGAAUAUGCACAUCAAUCAAAAUUCCUCAACGUUUUAAUUGAAGUAAAUUUGGACCGAAAAGACUAAAAUGCAUAUUAUGUGUAUCAUAAGAGAUAUUUCUUCAGUAGUGUCACACAAUAAAUAUGUUGAAUACCAAAUUUUCAUCAAUUAUUUAAGAAGUAUAUAAUCAAUAAAUAUAUAAUAUGUAAUAUCUAAACCAAUACUUAAAAGUGUUCUAAAAGUUUAAAAAAAAAUCUUGUGCUAAGGAAUGUAUUCAGAACGUAUGUGUUAGAUCCAUAUUUAUCAAUAAAUGUCAAAAUUAUGUUCUUCAUUUAAACAUUUUUGUCAUAAAUUAGCAGAUUAAAUUAACAUUUA